CAUUUCGAUCCCAGUAGUGUUCCCCAUUCCCCACUCCGUCCUAAACGGCAAAACCCUAAACCCGACACCGCCAUGGCCGCCGCCGUCCGCCGCCUCCUGCGCCGCGGCCUCUCCACGGCCACCGCUCCGCCGCCCACCCCGGGAUCCAUCCUUAACCCGUCCUCCCCAUCCACCCCGCUCACAUCGCGGCAGAAGAGCCGCCUCGCCAUCUCCCUCCUCAAGUCCACCCCGCCGCCGCCCCCCGACCAGAUCCUCUCCAUCUGCCGCGCCGCGGCGCUCUCCCCGGACUCCCACCUCGACCGCGUGGCCCUCUCCCUCGCCGCCUCGAAGCUCUCUUCCGCCCCGGACUCCGUUCGCGACCUCGCCUCCUCCCUCCUCACUCCCCACCACGCCCCCCACGCCAUCGCGCUCUUCGGCCAGGCCGGCCUCCUCCCCGACGCCGUCUCCACCUUCAAGUCCUCCCCGUCGACCCGCUCCCUCAACGCCCUCCUCUUCGCCUGCCUCGUCUCCGGCAACCACGCCGAGGCUGCCCGCGUCUUCCAGACCUUCCCCGAUGCGUACUCCGUCAAGCCCAACACUGACACCUUCAACGCCAUUAUCAAGUCCUUCGCCGAGUCCGGCACCACAAGGUCCUUCUACUCGGUGCUCGAUGAAAUGUGCCAGAAGGGUGUGAAGCCCAACGCCACUACGUUUACUACGGCGAUUGCUGGUUUUUACAAGGAGGAGCGGUUUGAUGAUGUAGGGAAGGUGAUUGAGCUCAUGAAGAAGCACGGUUGUGGUGAGUCGCUGCCAGUGUUCAAUGUUAGGGUCCAGGGGCUGUGCAAACUUGGUCGGAGUGGCGACGCAAAGGCAUUGCUGAAUGAGAUGGUGAAGAAAGGGACAAAGCCGAGCUGGCUCACUUAUAAUCAUUUGAUUCAUGGAUUCUGCAAGGAGGGGGAUUUGGAGGAAGCUAAGCGGCUAUACAAGGAGAUGGCAAAGAAAGGGCUUGUUGGGGAUAGUAGCUUCUAUUAUAUGCUUAUUUAUUACCUUUGUAAGGGUGGUGAUUUUGAUACUGCCGUUGGGGUGUACAAUGAGAUAGCAGCCAGGAAUUGGGUGCCGUGUUUUUCGACCAUGAAGAUGCUUGUGAAUGGGCUUGCUGGAAGCUCAAGGGUCGAUGAGGCAAAAGGUAUCAUUGAGAAGAUGAAGGAAAAAUUCCCAGAUAAGGCUGAAGGGUGGAAGGAAGUAGAGGAUGCUUUGCCUCAAUAGAAUAGCAGAUGGACGAACUUGCAGUAAUCUGGAAACAAUGCACCGCAAUUUUUUCUUGCUAGGGUUAUUUUGUUUUUAAAUCAGGAACUUCACCAACAUUUGAUCGAUUGACUUGAGCAGAGAUUUGUUACAUAUGCUAGUUCCAGCUAUGGCGACAAUAUUUUCCGUCUGGGAUAGUUGAGGCGUUUGAAAGUACUGUCUUAAGUCAUCUGCCGAAUAUGUUCUGGACAUUAUUAUCUGGUAUGCUGUUACAAAUUAGUGUGGUUCAGGAGAUCGAUAUAAUAACCAUACAUUCAUACUUUUGUCAUUUUUAUAUACCUUUUUUUAGAGGAAUAUCGAAUUCCAUUAUACCA